GAAGAAAGCUACUACAGCAAUAUGGUUUCGGCCCAUAUAAACGAAUUAACUGAUUCUCUUCUUU
rnacentral:tRNA from 1 species